UCCCCGUUAUCCGGGGCGGUUUCACUAGAGUGCCCAGCUUGACCUGAUGGCAACUAGGGAUAAGGGUUGCGCUCGUUGCGGGACUUAACCCAACAUCUCACGACACGAGCUGACGACAGCCAUGCAGCACCUGUGUUCAGGUUCCCUUUCGGGCACCUCUGCAUUUCUGCAGAGUUCCUGACAUGUCAAGGGUAGGUAAGGUUUUUCGCGUUGCAUCGAAUUAAACCACAUGCUCCACCGCUUGUGCGGGCCCCCGUCAAUUCCUUUGAGUUUCAGCCUUGCGGCCGUACUCCCCAGGCGGGGCACUUAAUGCGUUAGCGCCGGCACUCAGGGGGUCGCUCCCCCCGACGCCUAGUGUCCAUCGUUUACGGCGUGGACUAC
rnacentral:misc_RNA from 1 species